rnacentral:rRNA from 1 species
GGGACAACCCGCCGAAAGGCGGGCUAAACCCGCGUACAUGCCACCGGGGCAUCCCGGAGGCAGGAAAGGCUUCGGCCGGACAGGGAUGGGCAUGCGGCGCAUUAGGCAGUAGGCGGGGUAACGGCCCACCUAACCGACGAUGCGUAGGGGUUCUGAGAGGAAGGUCCCCCACACUGGUACUGAGACACGGACCAGACUCCUACGGGAGGCAGCAGUGAGGAAUAUUGGUCAAUGGUCGGGAGACUGAACCAGCCAAGCCGCGUGAGGGAUGAAGGUACAGAGUAUCGUAAACCUCUUUUGUCAGGGAACAAAGGCGGGGACGUGUCCCCGGAUGAGUGUACCUGAAGAAAAAGCAUCGGCUAACUCCGAGCCAGCAGCCGCGGUAAUACGGAGGAUGCGAGCGUUAUCCGGAUUUAUUGGGUUUAAAGGGUGCGCAGGCGGUCUGUUAAGUCAGCGGUCAAAGCCCGGGGCUCAACCCCGGCCCGCCGUUGAAACUGGCAGUCUCGAGUUGGAGAGAAGUAUGCGGAAUGCGCGGUGUAGCGGUGAAAUGCAUAGAUAUCGCGCAGAACUCCGAUUGCGAAGGCAGCAUGCCGGCUCCACACUGACGCUGAGGCACGAAAGCGUGGGUAUCGAACAGGAUUAGAUACCCUGGUAGUCCACGCAGUAAAC